rnacentral:rRNA from 1 species
UACGUAGGGUGCGAGCGUUGUCCGGAAUUAUUGGGCGUAAAGGGCUCGUAGGCGGUUUGUCGCGUCGGGAGUGAAAACACCGGGCUUAACUCGGUGCUUGCUUUCGAUACGGGCAGACUAGAGGUAUGCAGGGGAGAACGGAAUUCCCGGUGUAGCGGUGAAAUGCGCAGAUAUCGGGAGGAACACCGGUGGCGAAGGCGGUUCUCUGGGCCUGACCUGACGCUGAGGAGCGAAAGCGUGGGGAGCGAACAGG